rnacentral:rRNA from 1 species
AAAAACAUAUGGCGUUAUCUGCUCAAUGAUAUGUUAAAUAGCUGCAGUACUCUGACUGUGCAAAGGUAGCAUAAUAAUUUGGCUUAUAAUUGAAGUCUAGUAUGAAUGAAUUUAUGGGGAGUACCUCUAUCUUUAAUAUCUUAUGAAGUUAUUUAAUAUGUGCAAAUACAUAUAUUAAAAAAAAAGACGAGAAGACCCUAGAAAUUUUAAUUAAUAAUUAACAACCAUUUUUGCUGGGGCGGCAUGGUUACAAUAAUAACUAACCUAAAUUACCUGAAGUUUUCGGGUUGAAUAAUUACUCUAGGGAUAACAGCAUAAUUUAUUAAAGUUUGUGACCUCGAUGUUGGACUAGGAAAUUUAAGUUUAGAAGAUAUAAAAUAAUGCUCUGUUCGAGCAGUGAUUCCUAC